AGCAGCCGCGGUAAUUCCAGCUCCAAUAGCGUAUAUUAAAGUUGUUGCAGUUAAAAAGCUCGUAGUUGAACUUCAGGCCUGGCUGGACGGUCCGCCCUCUGGGUGAGCACUGUCUGUGGUCGGGUCCUACCUUCUGGCGAAGCGGCAUGGCCUUAACCGGCCGUGGGCGGGGAACCAGGACUUUUACUGUAGAAAAAUUAGAGUGUUACAAAGCAGGCACGCGCUUGAAUACAUUAGCAUGGAAUAAUGGAAUAGGACAAUGGUUCUAUUUGUUGGUUUCUAGGACCGUUGUAAUGAUUAAUAGGGAUAGUUGGGGGCAUUAGUAUUCAAUUGUCAGAGGUGAAAUUCUUGGAUUUUAUUGAAGACUAACUACUGCGAAAGCAUUUGCCGAGGAUGUUUUCAUUAAUCAA
rnacentral:misc_RNA from 1 species